rnacentral:rRNA from 1 species
GAACGGUAACAUUUCUAGCUUGCUAGAAGAUGACGAGUGGCGGACGGGUGAGUAAUGCUUGGGAACUUGCCUUUACGAGGGGGAUAACAGUUGGAAACGACUGCUAAUACCGCAUAAUGUCUUCGGACCAAACGGGGCUUCGGCUCCGGCGCAAAGAGAGGCCCAAGUGAGAUUAGCUAGUUGGUAAGGUAACGGCUUACCAAGGCGACGAUCUCUAGCUGUUCUGAGAGGAAGAUCAGCCACACUGGGACUGAGACACGGCCCAGACUCCUACGGGAGGCAGCAGUGGGGAAUAUUGCACAAUGGGGGAAACCCUGAUGCAGCCAUGCCGCGUGUGCGAAGAAGGCCUUCGGGUUGUAAAGCACUUUCAGUUGUGAGGAAAAGUUAGUAGUUAAUACCUGCUAGCCGUGACGUUAACAACAGAAGAAGCACCGGCUAACUCCGUGCCAGCAGCCGCGGUAAUACGGAGGGUGCGAGCGUUAAUCGGAAUUACUGCGCGUAAAGCGCACGCAGGCGGUUUGUUAAGCUAGAUGUGAAAGCCCCGGGCUCAACCUGGGAUGGUCAUU